AUUGAACGCUGGCGGCAUGCUUUACACAUGCAAGUCGAACGGCAGCGCGGGCUUCGGCCUGGCGGCGAGUGGCGAACGGGUGAGUAAUACAUCGGAACGUGCCCAGUGGUGGGGGAUAGCUCGGCGAAAGCCGGAUUAAUACCGCAUACGACCUGAGGGUGAAAGCGGGGGAUCUUCGGACCUCGCGCUAUUGGAGCGGCCGAUGGCAGAUUAGCUAGUUGGUGGGGUAAAGGCCUACCAAGGCGACGAUCUGUAGCUGGUCUGAGAGGACGACCAGCCACACUGGGACUGAGACACGGCCCAGACUCCUACGGGAGGCAGCAGUGGGGAAUUUUGGACAAUGGGCGAAAGCCUGAUCCAGCAAUGCCGCGUGUGUGAUGAGGGCCUUCGGGUUGUAAAGCACUUUUGGCGGGAACGAAAAGGACUGUGCCAAUACCACGGUUCGAUGACGGUACCCGCAGAAUAAGCACCGGCUAACUACGUG
rnacentral:rRNA from 1 species